AUCUGAUUUUUGCCCCUCGACCUUGCACCCCCUACAGCUUCAAACUCACCAUUCAUGCGCCCGAUGACAAGUCGUUUUGUAUCGUUCGCUCUCUCUUCCAGCGACAAAUCUUCCAUGCCGCCAUCAUUUUCUGAUUGCGCAAUACUGCUGAAGAUUUCCCUUGGACCUGUCUCAUUCUCGCAUGUAGAACAAUAAUAUGACAGUGUGACGACGCUGGAAGCCGGUGAGUAAGAUUCGGUAUUUUCGGCGUUCUGUCGGUGGAAGAACCCAGGCCAAAAAAAAAAAAAAAAAAAAAAAUUAACUGUAUUUAACAUUUCUGGUACACCGCGCCUCUCCAGGUGUAAGAGGGAGUUGUAUGGCAUGAGGGGUUUGUUUUUGUAUCACCUUGUCAAUCUUUUGA
rnacentral:sRNA from 1 species